GGCUUUUUGUAUGAUGACCUUCACAAUAAUGUGUUUUCUUUAAAAUUUCAUUUCUUUUCUUGUAAAAUUUUGUACAAUCUCCAUAGAAAAGGCUCUUUUCUAUAAUGAAAAUUUUUCUAAUCAGAUUUGUAAACAUAACAAGAAAAAAAUAUAUCAACCUUCUGUUUAUGUCAACCAAACAAAUAAGAAUCUGGGCUUCAAAUAAUUUUUUGAACAAUCUGCAUCCAGUAGUGCUGUGAAUUCUUGGUGAGGAAAGGAAUCUGCCCCUCUGGUGUAGGAGGAUGAUCUAUAAAUAGAAGUGAGGAAGCAUACGAGCUAUUUAUGAACAUAUGAAAAAUUAAAGAUCCACUGAGGGGAAAAAAAUAAAAUCAAAAGGCACAGUCAUUAUUCGGGAAAUCCUUUACGACUUAAAAUGGUCCUAAAUUCUUACCUUAAUUAAUCUUGAUCUCCAUGAGUUCCUGGAAGGGUUGGCGGCAAAUUGGGCAUUUAUUAGAAUGAAGUCUCAACACUUUUGCACACACACUGCACAAACACUGCAAAUGUGAUAUUUAGCAUUUAAUUAGGGAAGGAACAUAAACACACAAAAUUUAUUCAUGUAAAGAUGAGUGAAAUGAAAAUCCAAAUAAUGGUUAUUAAGCUCCUCUUAGAUAGGGAAGAACGGGAAAAGUAGUGGCAUGAGAAAAAUUUAUGGCUUAAGCUAAUAUCUACUUAGAAUGGAUCCACCGAAUUGACCAGUCUAGCAAGCAAUCUUUAGCUCUUUAUGGCUUCAAAUCCUAAAUGUAGCCACUUGAGAUUCAUCCGUGGAGCUAGGACAUCCUAAUGAGUCCACCACAUUCAUGGUCAUAUGUCGACAAGGCAAAAUAACUGUAUCCUUUGGCUUAGUCAAGCAAAUGACACAUUCUUUCCCUGUUUCCCUAUCAUAAAUCUCACGCAGCUCAUAUCGAGCCCCAUCAAUCCACAAUAUUUGCUUCACUACUUUCACUUGAAAAUGGCCCUCCUUAUUCUUGUCUAAGACAGCUUGAGUAAUAUGUGCACGAGGAGACAAGGUUGGCAUAGGCUGAUCAGGAGGCUCUGCAGCUGCAAAGAGAGAAGGCAGGCAUGCUUCUGCACAGAUAACAAGGGGGAACAUAUCUUCCUCUGGUGUGGGCUUUGAUAGCUGAUCCAACUCAAGGAAGCCCAAGUCAAUUCCAGUUCCUGAUGGCUGACAGAAUUUUUGGCCCAGUCCUCUCUUGAAGGGAGUUCUCCAUGGCACAUAGAUUUCAGGGUACAAAGGCACAAAUCUACAGUUCACUUCUUCCUUGGCAAAGUAAGAUAUGGUGAUGCUGCCAUCAACGAGAGCAUCAAAAGCGAAGGAAACCAAAUGAGAAUCCAAAUUCUUCUCAUCAACCACGAGCCUUACACUAUCCUUAUGCACAUUCACAUCAUUCUUGAUCUUCUUGGCAUGGUUAUGAUCAACAUAAGGCGGCAGCGGCGGCGGCGGCGCCUGUGAAGGAGGAGGCACUAGCACCGGUGCAACAGCAGAAGCAUAACGAAGUGGGACCCACCCACUAGUCCGAGUACUAAAAGAAUCAGGACGAGGAAUAAAGUAAUUUCGGGAAUUGUAGGAAGAAGAGGGAAAUGUGGUGGGACGAGGCGAUGAUGAAAGAAGGUAACGUACAUGGGCUUCAAGAUCAUAACUGGGCGGCGGAACCGGCGAUGGUGGUACGGUGUUGGUUAAAGAAUUAGAAGAGAAGGGUAUUGGGUUGUUCUGUGUAAUAUGAUCAGAAUUAGUAUUGGCGAUGAUAGCCCUUGUUGUCGUAGAAGAAUGGAGUUGGUGAUUUGGAGCUGUGGUUGAAAUGGAAGGGACAGAUGGGCGCUGGUUUUGAUCGGGGUGGUCAUGAAGGUAGUGGUGGGUGCCCAUUUCAGCGUUGAAAGGAAGGGAAGAAGUUGAAUUUGGACACGAAGGUCGUUGGUUCUGCG
rnacentral:misc_RNA from 1 species